ACCGGGCGUGGUGGCACAUGCCUGUAGUCCCAGCUACUUGGGAAGCUGAGGUGGGAGGAUUGCUUGAACCCAGGAAUUCUGGGCUGUAGUGCGCUAUGCCGAUUGGGUGUCUGCACUAAGUUCGGCAUCGCGAUGACCUCCCAGGAGCGGAGGACCACCAGGUUGCCUAAGGAGGGGUGAACCGGCCCAGGUUGGAAACGGAUCAGGUUAAAACUCUCGUGCUGAUAAGUAGUGGGAUUGCACCUGUGAAUAGCCACUGCACUCCAGCCUGGGCAACAGAGCGAGACCCUGUCUCU
rnacentral:SRP_RNA from 1 species